CGGUUGAUCCUGCCGGAGGUUACCGCUAUGGGAGUCGGAUUAAGCCAUGCUAGCGGAGGAUAGUUCGGCUGCCCCGCGAUAAGCUCAGUAACACGUGGUCAAUCUCCCCUUGGGGCGGCGAUAACCCCGGGAAACUGGGGAUAAUACCCGAUAGAUGGGGAUUCUGGAAUGUUCCUCAUCGAAACGCGUCAGCACCCAAGGAUGAGACUGCGGCCUAUUAGGUAGUUGGUGAGGUAAUGGCUCACCAAGCCGAAGAUGGGUACGGGCCCUGAGAGGGGGAGCCCGGAGAUGGAGACUGAGACAAGGCUCCAGGCCCUACGGGGCGCAGCAGGUGCGAAAAUUUCGCAAUGCGUGCAAGCGCGACGAAGCGACUCCCAUUGUCGAUGGUCUAACGACCGUCGACUUUUCUGAAGUGUAAAAAGCUUCAUGUAAUAAGGGCCGGGUAAGACUGGUGCCAGCCGCCGCGGGAACACCAGCUGCCCGAGUGGUAACCGAUUUUA
rnacentral:rRNA from 1 species